rnacentral:antisense_RNA from 1 species
CUUCACCGAACCCAACCACAGCGGCCGAUCCCCAUCCCGACCCUGACCAUAAGUGGCCAACAACGCCUGCGCCUC